rnacentral:rRNA from 1 species
CAAGCGGUGGAGCAUGUGGUUUAAUUCGAUGCAACGCGAAGAACCUUACCUGGUCUUGACAUCCACAGAACUUUCCAGAGAUGGAUUGGUUCCUUCGGGAACUGUGAGACAGGUGCUGCAUGGCUGUCGUCAGCUCGUGUUGUGAAAUGUUGGGUUAAGUCCCGCAACGAGCGCAACCCUUAUCCUUUGUUGCCAGCGGUYCGGCCGGGAACUCAAAGGAGACUGCCAGUGAUAAACUGGAGGAAGGUGGGGAUGACGUCAAGUCAUCAUGGCCCUUACGACCAGGGCUACACACGUGCUACAAUGGCGCAUACAAAGAGAAGCAAUCUCGCGAGAGCUASCGGACCUCAUAAAGUGCGUCGUAGUCCGGAUUGGAGUCUGCAACUCGACUCCAUGAAGUCGGAAUCGCUAGUAAUCGUGAAUCAGAAUGUCACGGUGAAUACGUUCCCGGGCCUUGUACACACCGCCCGUCACACCAUGGGAGUGGGU